GGGUGUGUUCCACACUCCUGCACCAGCAGUUUGCACUUCAGCGCCCCGUGGUUCCGAGGCAGAGCUUCUCGCCUGGAGAACCAAGCUGGCAGAGCUGGGUGAUGAAGGCAGCAUCCAUGGGGAGCUGUGACACCUCCGUGGGCUUUACACCACCCCAAAGCGCUGCAGAGGCUGUGGUCAGCACUCACAGCACAUCUCUGCUGCCCUGGAGGAGGAGAUGCUUUUCCCAGUGCCCUGGAAGAGGAUGUCCUUUCCCCGCUGGCCUCGCUCUGCCCGGCUCGUGUUUCCCAGAAGUCACGAUUUCAAAAAACCUUAUAUCACCUCUUUCAACAACAACAAAAAAGCACUUAUAUAGAAAAAGGACGCGCAAAAAGUUUGUCGCCCUCGCCUUAUUGCCGAAAAUAGAGAGAAUUAGAGUAACCGAGAUGCCACAAAGGAAAAGAAGGGCCAGAGAACCUGUUGCUCCCCCCUCCCCGUGCCCUGCCAGCCCCCCGUGCCGCGCCCGCUGCCGGCUCCGCUCCCCCCGCGGCCGAGGCUCCUGUCACCAUCUCAGCAUCCUUUA